UGCCAGGCAUGGUUUUCCUCAUUAAAACUACCCUGUCAUUAGAUUGAAACUGGAAACUACAGCAAGGUCAGAAUCACUAUAAAGAUCAGCUGUACUUAUAAUGUCAUUUCUGAAUCCCACUGCUAUGAUUUAGGAUACAGGUCCCAAGGGCUUAAAGAUGGUUUGAGAAGAGAGAAGAUAAUUAAUGAAUCUUUCCCACCAGCCUGUAUGACCUGGAGCUGCAGCUCACCUUCCUGUGUGCAUCCCACAGAACAGCAAGGUCAUUAUCAAGAGUGUUCAGGGAACAGCCUGUGAUCCCAGGACUCACAAGGCUGAGGCUAAGUCUGUAAGCUUAAGGCCAGUCUGGCUACAUAACAAGUUAAAGGUCAACUUGGGCUUCCUAAGAGCAGUCUGUCUCAAAAAAACCAACCACAACAUAAAAAAAUAAAUAUCCAUGAGGGA